rnacentral:rRNA from 1 species
AUUGAACGCUGGCGGCAGGCCUAACACAUGCAAGUCGAGCGAGCGGCGGACGGGUGAGGAAUGUCUGGGAAACUGCCUGAUGGAGGGGGAUAACUACUGGAAACGGUAUCUAAUACCGCAUACCAUCAGAUGUGCCAAGAUGGGAUUAGCUAGUAGGUCGGGUAACGGCUCACCUGGGCGACGAUCCCUAGCUGGUCUGAGAGGAUGACCGGCCACACUGGAACUGAGACACGGUCCAGACGCCUACGGGAGGCAGCAGUGGGGAAUAUUGGACAAUGGGCGAAAGCCUGAGGGAGCCAUGCCGCGUGUGUGAAGAAGGCCUUCGGGUUGUAAAGCACUUUCAGUGGGGAGGCGUUACCCGCAGAAGAAGCAACGGCUAACUCCGUGCCAGCAGCCGCGGUAAUUC